rnacentral:rRNA from 1 species
CCUACGGGAGGCAGCAGUGGGGAAUAUUGGGCAAUGGGCGCAAGCCUGACCCAGCAACGCCGCGUGAAGGAAGAAGGCUUUCGGGUUGUAAACUUCUUUUCUCAGGGACGAAGCAAGUGACGGUACCUGAGGAAUAAGCCACGGCUAACUACGUGCCAGCAGCCGCGGUAAUACGUAGGAGGCAAGCGUUAUCCGGAAGGACUGGGCGUAAAGGGUGCGUAGGGGGUUUGGCAAGUUGGUAGCGUAAUCCCGGGGCUCAACCUCGGUGCUACUACCCAAACUGUUGAACUUGAGUGCAGGAGGGGUGAAUGGAAUUCCCAGUGGAGCGGUGGAAUGCGUAGAUAUUGGGAAGAACACCAGCGGCGAAGGCGAUUCACUGGACUGUGACUGACACUGAGGCACGAAAGCGUGGGGAGCAAACAGGAUUAGAUACCCCAGUAGUC